GACGAACGCUGGCGGCGUGCUUAACACAUGCAAGUCGAACGGAAAGGCCUGCUUUCCCUUGUGGAUUGCGGGUACUCGAGUGGCGAACGGGUGAGUAACACGUGAGUGAUCUGCCCCCAACUUGGGUAUAAGCCUGGGAAACUGGGUCUAAUUCCCGAUAGGACUGCAGGGUGGUGCCUGUGGUGGAAAACGAUUUUCUAGUGGUUGGGGAUGAGCUCGCGGCCUAUCAGCUUGUUGGUGGGGUAAUGGCCUACCAAGGCGGCGACGGGUAGCCGGCCUGAGAGGGUGGACGGCCACAUUGGGACUGAGAUACGGCCCAGACUCCUACGGGAGGCAGCAGUGGGGAAUAUUGCACAAUGGGCGGAAGUCUGAUGCAGCGACGCCGCGUGGGGGAUGACGGCCUUCGGGUUGUAAACUCCUUUCGACCGCGAGGAAGCCACCUGGUUGGAAGGGUGGUGACGGUAGUGGUAGAAGAAGCACCGGCUAACUACGUG
rnacentral:rRNA from 1 species